ensembl:lncRNA
AGACAACAGGAAGGGUUUCCAAGUAUAUUUGUUUUAAAGUUGAUGUUCACUGCUUUGGAAAAGCCAAAAUAUUAGCAGUUAAAUUUUAUCAAGAAAUGCUUCUGUCUCUCCUCUGAUUUUGUAGACCAUUGUACAUGGAACUUCCAUACUCAACCAUAGGUCAGCUAAAAACAGAAAUUGAAACAUACAGCUGGACAAGAUGACAUAACUGAUUCAAAAACUACAAGAUAUGUAAGAAGUGACUCCUGCAUCAAAUCUAUAACAUCUCUGUGAGCUACAGCUUAUCCCUGAGAAAAACAACCACUAUUGAUUUGAAGAGAUCGGGUAAUUGAAGAGCUAUCAUAUUCCAAGUUUUUCCACUACAUGAAAGACCUGUCUCUACAGAUAUCUUCCUUAGGACCAGUUCUAUCCUCCAGCCUAGAAGCCAUGAAAGGAGGUUGUGAACCUCAGAAAACAAGACCUCCUGGACUGCUUGUGGACUUGUGGCACCCCCUGCCUUGAUAGAGGAUUAUGUCAAGACAUAUGGGUACACACCCUUAAUUCAUGGCUUCCUUGGGGUCUCUACCACUUGUCUGAAGCAUGUUGUAGUCCCUUGACGGUCAUGAAGCACAAGAAUCUGGAGCAAGACACUGUUUGGAAGAACAAUCUGAAAGGUAAUAGCCAUAUUCAGCUCACAGAUGUUUUGCUUCCAUUCAGGAGUACACAGAAACUGUAUAGAAAACUAACUGUCUUUUAAACUCUUCUCCUGGUAAAGCACAGUCCAACGCCAAACCCAGGCAAUCUCUGAGUACUUCGUGUCCUGGGCCUUGGCCUUGGCCAAUGGCCACGCUGGGCAUUUAAUAGUAUGCACAUCCCCACACUAGUGCUCAGGCAUCUACCCUAGCCUUAUAUAAUUUUCUAAUAUAAACUAUAAACUACAGUAGUAUACCUGUAUGGAUACAACCACUGAAAUCAUGCAACUUCUCAAAUGUGAUGGUGGGUGCACAAAUGUUUGUGACAGAAAUUACAGAAAUUACAGGCUACACAAGCAGCUGGAAGAACUCCACAUACUGCUGGAGAGUUGAAUCUAAGCAAUUAAUUAUGUUUCAUUUCUAUGUUUGAUAGUGGUAAGGUCUGUUUCCAGGGAAAAAGAAAGUAUUUUUCUGAAUAUUUAAUGUUUUUAAUGCAUUCUUUCAGUUCUGUAAUUAAUUGUAUGUCCCUGUUUUUACUUAUGUGUAACUAAAAAAAAAUUAAAAAGAUGAAUUUCUGAAUAACCAUGCAGAAGCUGCUGGUUUGCUUUGAAAAAUAAAGGAGACUGAAAUGGCUUGAUUAGAUUUUAAAAAAUAAAUAAAUAAAUUAGCAGUGAAAAAAUCCAAACAGCAAAAAAUGGAGCUUUUCUGGCAACCUGAAUUUGCAAGAAAUUCUGAUUCUAAUGAGACAGAAAAGUUAGGAGAAGAAAGCACACCAAAAGAAAAAAAAAGACAGAGAGAGAG